GGUUUACAUAGUAGUCAGAAAUG
rnacentral:snRNA from 1 species